CAAAGGGAUUACCGGUGGCGGAUGGACAUGCGGCGCAUUAGCUAGUCGGCGGGGUAACGGCCCACCGAGGCGACGAUGCGUAGGGGUUCUGAGAGGAAGGUCCCCCACACUGGUACUGAGACACGGACCAGACUCCUACGGGAGGCAGCAGUGAGGAAUAUUGGUCAAUGGGCGCGAGCCUGAACCAGCCAAGUCGCGUGAGGGAUGACGGUCCUACGGAUUGUAAACCUCUUUUGCCGGGGAGCAAGCGUGCGUUCGUGAACGCGCGUCGAGAGUACCCGGAGAAAAAGCAUCGGCUAACUCCGUGCCAGCAGCCGCGGUAAUACGGAGGAUGCGAGCGUUAUCCGGAUUUAUUGGGUUUAAAGGGUGCGUAGGCGGGAUGCCAAGUCAGCGGUAAAAAUGCGGUGCUCAACGCCGUCGAGCCGUUGAAACUGGCGUUCUUGAGUGGGCGAGAAGUAUGCGGAAUGCGUGGUGUAGCGGUGAAAUGCAUAGAUAUCACGCAGAACUCCGAUUGCGAAGGCAGCAUACCGGCGCCCUACUGACGCUGAGGCACGAAAGCGUGGGUAUCGAACAGGAUUAGAUACCCUGGUAGUCCACGCAGUAAACGAUGAA
rnacentral:rRNA from 1 species